UACACUCCUACGGGAGGCAGCAGUGGGGAAUAUUGCACAAUGGGCGCAAGCCUGAUGCAGCCAUGCCGCGUGUAUGAAGAAGGCCUUCGGGUUGUAAAGUACUUUCAGCGGGGAGGAAGGCAAUACGGUUAAUAACCGUGUUGAUUGACGUUACCCGCAGAAGAAGCACCGGCUAACUCCGUGCCAGCAGCCGCGGUAAUACGGAGGGUGCAAGCGUUAAUCGGAAUUACUGGGCGUAAAGCGCCCGCAGGCGGUCUGUCAAGUCGGAUGUGAAAUCCCCGGGCUCAACCUGGGAACUGCAUUCGAAACUGGCAGGCUUGAGUCUUGUAGAGGGGGGUAGAAUUCCAGGUGUAGCGGUGAAAUGCGUAGAGAUCUGGAGGAAUACCGGUGGCGAAGGCGGCCCCCUGGACAAAGACUGACGCUCAGGUGCGAAAGCGUGGGGAGCAAACAGGAUUAGAAACCCUGGUAGUCCCAUG
rnacentral:rRNA from 1 species